GAUGUGCAUAAAUUGUGCGCGUGGUGUGCUUGGUUGUGGCCCCGACGCUUGAUAAGAUUAGCCGCAGGUGCAAAGAGUAUGCGCGUGAUCUGCAUAGAUUGCAUGCUUGCUUGCGGCACCGAUGCUCGAAAGGCUUUGCUGCAGGUGCAAAGAGUAUGCGCGUGAUGUGCAUAAAUUGUGCACGUGGUGUGCUUGGUUGUGGCCCCGACGCUCGAAAGGCUUAGCUGCAGGUGCAAAGAGAAUGCACGUGAUCUGCACACCACGCGCACAAUUUAUGCAAUUAUGAAAGGAUUAGCUGCAGGUGCAAAGAGUAUGCGCGUGAUCUGCAUAGAUUGCGUGCAUGGUGUGCUUUGUUGCGGUACCGAUGCUCGAAAGGCUUAGCUGCAGGUGCAAAAAGUAUGCGCAUGAUGUGCAUAAAUUGUGCGCGUGGUGUGCUUCGUUGCGGCCCCAAUGCUCGAAAGGAUUAGCCGCAGGUGCAAAUAGAAUGCGCGUGAUCUGCACACCAUGCGCACAAUUUAUGCAAUUAUGAAAGGAUUAGCUGCAGGUGCAAAGAGUAUGCGCGUGAUCUGCAUAUAUUGCGUGCAUGGUGUGCUUGGUUGCAGUACCGAUGCUCGAAAGGCUUAGCUGCAGGUGCAAAGAGUAUGCGCGUGGUGUGCUUGGUUGAAGCACCGAUGCUCGAAAGGCUUAGCCGGGGGUACAAAGAGUAUGCGCGUGAUGUGCUUCGUUGCGGCCCCAAUGCUCGAAAGGAUUAGCCGCAGGUGCAAAGAGAAUGCGCGUGAUCUGCACACCACGCGCACAAUUUAUGCAAUUAUGAAAGAAUUAGCUGCAGGUGCAAAGAGUAUGCGCGUGAUCUGCAUAGAUUGCGUGCAUGGUGUGCUUGGUUGCGGUACCGAUGCUCGAAAGGCUUAGCUGCAGGUGCAAAGAGUAUGCGCGUGGUGUGCUUGGUUGAAGCACCGAUGCUCGAAAGGCUUAGCCGGGGUACAAAGAGUAUGCGCGUGAUGUGCAUAAAUUGUGUGCGUGGUGUGCUUCGUUGCGGCCCCAAUGCUCGAAAGGAUUAGCCGCAGGUGCAAAGAGAAUGCGCGUGAUCUGCACACCACGCGCACAAUUUAUGCAGUUAUGAAAGGAUUAGCUGCAGGUGCAAAGAGUAUGCGUGUGAUCUGCAUAGAUUGCGUGCAUGAUGUGCUUGGUUGCGGCACCGAUGCUCGAAAGGCGCAAGAGUCGAAAGACUUAGCCGGGGGUGCAAAGAGUAUGCGCGUGAUAUGCAUAAAUUGUGGACGUGGUGUGCUUGGUUGCGGUCCUGAUGCUCGAAAGGAUUAGCUGCAGGUGCAAAGAGUAUGCGAUGUGCAUAAAUUGGGUGCGUGACGGGUGUAGCCAGUCGGAGACUCCGGAACUACCUUAAAUCACUUGCUUUUCGUGCGCUUGUUCCACUUCAGUUUGGAAACAAAUCAACUUUUUUAAAAAUUGCAGCAGAAAAAUAAAAAUAACAAAAAUAAGAAAAUGCUCUUCGUGAACCACAAAGACUAGGCUACCAAAAUUUUGGCUGUACAGUCGAACCUCGCUAUAACAAAUUUGUACCUGGCAGCGAUAAACUUCGUUAUAUCCCAAAUUUCAU